rnacentral:rRNA from 1 species
AGCGAACGCUGGCGGCAGGCUUAACACAUGCCAGUCGAGCGGGCGUAGCAAUACGUCAGCGGCAGACGGGUGAGUAACGCGUGGGAACGUACCUUUUGGUUCGGAACAACACAGGGAAACUUGUGCUAAUACCGGAUAAGCCCUUACGGGGAAAGAUUUAUCGCCGAAAGAUCGGCCCGCGUCUGAUUAGCUAGUUGGUGAGGUAACGGCUCACCAAGGCGACGAUCAGUAGCUGGUCUGAGAGGAUGAUCAGCCACAUUGGGACUGAGACACGGCCCAAACUCCUACGGGAGACAGCAGUGGGGAAUAUUGGACAAUGGGGGCAACCCUGAUCCAGCCAUGCCGCGUGAGUGAUGAAGGCCCUAGGGUUGUAAAGCUCUUUUGUGCGGGAAGAUAAUGACGGUACCGCAAGAAUAAGCCCCGGCUAACUUCGUG